rnacentral:sRNA from 1 species
AUCAAUGAACUGAGCCAUGUUCAAAUCCCUGUUAUGUUGAUGCCAGAUGACUUCAAAGCCUAUUCAAAAAUAAAGGUGGACAAUCACCUUUUUAACAAAGAAAACAUGCCGAGCCAUUUCAAGUUUAAGGAAUACUGCCCGAUGGUCUUCCGUAACCUGCGGGAGAGGUUUGGAAUUGAUGAUCAAGAUUUCCAGAAUUCCCUGACCAGGAGCGCACCCCUCCCCAACGACUCCCAGGCCCGCAGUGGAGCUCGUUUUCACACUUCCUACGACAAAAGAUACAUCAUCAAGACUAUUACCAGUGAAGAUGUGGCCGAAAUGCACAACAUCCUGAAGAAAUACCACCAGUACAUAGUGGAAUGUCAUGGGAUCACCCUUCUUCCCCAGUUCUUGGGCAUGUACCGGCUUAAUGUUGAUGGAGUUGAAAUAUAUGUGAUAGUUACAAGAAAUGUAUUCAGCCACCGUUUGUCUGUGUAUAGGAAAUACGACUUAAAGGGCUCUACAGUGGCUAGAGAAGCUAGUGACAAAGAAAAGGUAAGUACCUUGCUGUACGUCUCCCCAUGUCCUGGGGGCAUGAUCACGUACUCCCAAUCACCUUUACUCUUUCUUUCUAGUCUCCCACCCCUGCUAUUGUGAUUCUUCCUGUUCCCCAUUCUGCUGCCACCAGCGAGAAACACUUUAUUGACCCGAUGAGAGUUCUACUUCAUUUCUCUUCAUCAAAUUGUUGAAUAGUGAAACAGUUAUUUGUUGCAAGCAUGGUUGGAAGGAACAUUCCACCUGCAACUUGCUCUUGAAAAACACAGCCACCUGUGCAGUAAACCUAUAAUCGAAAAUGGCACUGACAGCUG